rnacentral:rRNA from 1 species
UCUGGUUGAUCCUGCCAGCAAUCAUAUGCUUGUCUCAAAGAUUAAGCCAUGCAAGUCUAAGUAUAAGUGCUUAUACAACGAAACUGCAGAAGGCUCAUUAUAUCAGUUUUAAAUUACUUGACUGAUUCUGUUACUUGGAUAACUGUAGGAAUUCUAGAGCUAAUACAUGCAAAAGAGCUGGACUUGGGAAACUGAGGAAGGCUUCAAUUAUCAGAUGAGAAACCAAGAGGAGCCUAAAAACUCCUAUAACAGAUGAAUGAUGGUAACCAGAAGACCGGGAACUUAUGUUUUCGGCAAUGCAAACAUGAAACUACCCUAUCAACUUUCAAUCGCUGUAAAGGGGACUGCGAUGGUAAUAACGGGUACGGGGAAUUAGGGUUCGAUUCCGGAGAGGCCGCCUGAGAAACGGCGACCACUUCCAAGGAAGGCAGCAGGCGCGUAAAUUAUCCAAUCUUGAUUCGAGGAGAUAGUGACAAGAAAUAGCGGUGUAGAGCCUUUUGGGUUCUACGAUCGCAAUGAGUACAAUUCAAAACCAUUAACGAGGAACAAUUAGAGGGCAAGUCUGGUGCCAGCAGCCGCGGUAAUUCCAGCUCUAAGAGUGUAUAUUAAAGUUGUUGCAGUUAAAAAGCUCGUAGUUGGAUGCAGAUACUAGUUGUUGAGGUGCCCAGGGGCUUGCUCUUGGGGUUAACACCAAUCAUCUGGGAUUUUUUCGGGAACGACCAAGGAUGGCUAAAACCAUUCUGUUUCGCAGGAUUUACUUUGAAUAAAUUAGAGUGUUUAAAGCAGGCGAAAUCGCCUUGAAUACAUUAGCAUGGGAUAAUAGAAUACGACUCCAGUUUAAACUUUUUUGGUUUCGAAAACAGGAGUAAUGAUUAAAAGGGACAGUUGAGGUAGUCUGUAUCCAGUGGUUAGAGGUGAAAUUCUAUGACCCAUUGGGGACAAACAAAGGCGAAGGCAUUCUACAAGGAUGUUUUCUUUAAUCAAGAACGAAAGUUGAGGGAGCGAAGAUGAUCAGAUACCGUCGUAGUCUCAACAGUAAACGAUGUUGACUUUGGAUCCGAGGAUGUUAUAUGGAUGACUUUUCGGGCACAGUAUGCGAAAGCAAAGUAUUCGAACUCUGGGGGGAGUAUGGUCGCAAGGCUGAAACUUAAAGGAAUUGACGGAAGGGCACCACCAGGAGUGGAACCUGCGGCUUAAUUUGACCCAACACGGGGAAACUUACCCAGUCCGGACACAACAAGGGUUGACAGAUUGAUAGCUCUUUCUUGAUUUUGGGGAAGCCGGUGCAUGGCCGUUUUUAGUUGGUGGAGUGAUUUGUCUGGUUAAGUCCGAUAACGAACGAGACCAAAAUCGAUUAAAUAGUAAGGUUACCAGGGGAAUUCUGGACUGCUUCGAGGCGACUUGGGGUA